rnacentral:lncRNA from 1 species
CUCCCUGUUUUGUUGUCUAUGUAGAUAUAUUGUUUUGAGAAAUGGCAGUUUGCAUAUUUUGCCUAUUUUAUUGGUCUGUUUGUUAUUUUCUUUUAGCUUUAUGACCAUAGCAUGUAUAUAUACUAGAAAUAAGGCCUUUGUUUU